rnacentral:lncRNA from 1 species
AGGUGAAUGUUGAUGCAGACUAGUUUGAAGAUGUUAUUUCAAAGUCGUGUACCAUGUGUCUAAUGCACAGCUUUAUUUGUCGGUACAAGAAGUCAUGAACCUGUGCUAAGUCAUGGUGAGACUCCUCAACAUUUUUGUAUGUCUGAUUUGCUACAUUAUUUUUUCCUUCGAAGUCCACAAUUCUUUUUUGUUGUAUUAUCCUUGCAUUUGAAUUCAGGAAAAGGUUUUCUCCAAUAUUUAUCCUGACUGCUGAGGAACCUCUUGUGAUGACAGUUUAUAUUCUUACUGCCAGCUGAUGGCCUGAUGUCAAUCUGCCUACAGUGAAACCUGAGUGAGACCUUGGCAUUAGAUGCCAUAUUGCAAAAUAAUAUACUGUACUUCUCUUGGAUGUUGCAUGUAUAUUUAGCUUGCACAGGUGAGUAGUCAUUCACUUACCAUACCGUUCUAAGUUGUGAAAUCUGAGUAUGUUUUAUCUAGUACGCUUCUUUCC